GGCUCGGUGGCGGAAUGGCGACGCAUCUGUAGGCUUUAUGUCUAAUGCUGUGUGUAUAUAAGUAGAAGACGCCUGUUCGAAUCAGGCCCGAGUCA